rnacentral:rRNA from 1 species
UACGUAGGCAGCGAGCGUUGUUCGGAGUUACUGGGCGUAAAGAGUGCGUAGGCGGUUUUCUAAGUUUGGUGUGAAAUCUCCCCGGCUUAACUGGGAGGGUGCGCCGAAAACCGGAAGGCUUGAGUAUGGGAGAGGGAUGCGGAAUUCCAGGUGUAGCGGUGAAAUGGCGUAGAUAUCUGGAGGAACACCGGUGGCGAAGGCGGCAUCCUGGACCAAUUCUGACGCUGAGGAGCGAAAGCCAGGGGAGCAAACGGG